rnacentral:rRNA from 1 species
CCUACGGGUGGCUGCAGUGAGGAAUAUUGGUCAAUGGACGAGAGUCUGAACCAGCCAAGUAGCGUGAAGGAUGACUGCCCUAUGUGUUGUAAACCUCUUUUGUCAGGGAGCAAGGUGCAGGUCGGGACCUGCUGUGAGAGUACCUGAAGAAAAAGCAUCGGCUAACUCCGUGCCAGCAGCCGCGGUAAUACGGAGGAUGCGAGCGUUAUCCGGAUUUAUUGGGUUGAAAGGGUGCGCAGGCGGAGGCACAAGUCAGCGGUAAAAUCGCGGGGCUCAACCCCGCGCCGCCGUUGAAACUGUGUCCCUUGAGUGCGCGAAGGGUAGGCGGAAUGCGUGGUGUAGCGGUGAAAUGCAUAGAUAUCACGCAGAACUCCGAUCGCGAAGGCAGCCUACCGGCGCGCAACUGACGCUCAUGCACGAAAGCGUGGGUAUCGAACAGGAUUAGAUACCCGAGUAGUC